rnacentral:rRNA from 1 species
AUGGGCGCGCACCAGGCCCAGCUCGCGCGCUGGCUCCAGCUCCUCGCCGCCAAGGGCGUCCGCGAGCUCGUCCUCGUCAACCGCCCGUGGCCGUGCGAUGUGCCCCUCCCUGACACGCUCUUCACCAUCAGCUCCCUCGUCCGCCUCUACAUCGGCCUCUGGAAGCUCCCGGACACGGCCGGCCUGCGUGGCGCCUCCUUCCCCAACCUCCGCGAGCUCGGCAUCUGCACCGUCGUGAUGGAGCAGGGGGACGUCGAAACCAUCGUAGCCAGCAGCCCCGUCCUGGAGGUCCUGAGCAUCCAGGGAAGCCACAAGGGGCUGCGCCUCCGCCUCGUCAGCCAGAGCCUUCGGUGCGUGCAAAUCUGCAGCUCUGUUGUGGAAAAUGUCACGGUGGUGAAGGCUCCAUGCCUCGAGCGGCUCAUCCUGCAGGGAGGUCGGCAUGCUGCUAGUGGCAUGUGUACCAUGGUCAGCAUUCUUGAUGCCCCCAAGCUACAUUUCUUUGGAUUCUUGGGGCCAGGCAAUCAUGUCCUGGGGAUCGGAGGCACCGUCAUAAUGGCUGGGAUAAAGGAGAGUGCGGCCACCAUUGUCGCAAGCGUUAAGAUCCUGAGCUUAAAUGUGCGUUUUGGACUCCCCAAUGAGGCAAGGAUGGUGCCCAUGUUCCUUAAAUGCUUUCCCAAUGUCGUGCGACUACAUAUCAUGUCCAGAAAAUGUAAUGGGUCUACUGGUAAGCCCAGCCUCAAUUUCCAGGAGGGUCCCACUGAAAGUGCUAUGUUGCACAUCAAAGAGAUGUAUUUUCGUGAGUUCCGAGGGGAGCAAGGCGAGGUUGCCUUCCUCAAGUCGAUCUUCCCAAAGGUGCUGGAGACCGCGGUGAUUAUAAUGGCAAAUCCAAGCUUCACGCCAUUUUCAGUAGCCGUGGCGUUCUCCAAACUGAAGGAGGCUUCUGAGGUCAUAAGGUGCUGCCAAGUGCUGCUUCUUAAGAGUACAGGGCCCGAAGGAGGCAAAGCAUGGAGCUUUAAAGAAGGAAGUGAUUUUUCAUGCGAGGACCCUUUCUCAACAGUGGAGAGCAGCUUGUUCACUCCGGAGCAGUCGAAGUUUAUUGGAUUUGAUGAAGUAGGAAACAGGCAUGACGCCUGCUGCACAAUGCCUGUGAGGAGUGGAAGAUCUUUGGAUGUGCUGAACUAUGAACUGGGCAUGGUAUCUGCUUCUUUUGGUAGCCGCCCCUGA